rnacentral:rRNA from 1 species
GAGGGGCAGCGAGGGUGAUAGCAAUAUUACCUGUCGGCGACCGGCGCACGGGUGCGUAACGCGUAUGCAGCCUACCAUCAACAGGGGGAUAACACUGAGAAAUUGGUACUAAUACCCCAUAAUAUCUCAUGCGGCAUCGCAUGGGGUUGAAAACUCCGGUGGUUGAUGAUGGGCAUGCGUUGUAUUAGCUGGUUGGUGAGGUAACGGCUCACCAAGGCGACGAUACAUAGGGGGACUGAGAGGUUAACCCCCCACAUUGGUACUGAGACACGGACCAAACUCCUACGGGAGGCAGCAGUGAGGAAUAUUGGUCAAUGGACGCAAGUCUGAACCAGCCAUGCCGCGUGCAGGAUGACGGCUCUACGAGUUGUAAACUGCUUUUGUACGAGGGUAAACCCCGAUACGUGUAUCGGGUUGAAAGUAUCGUACGAAUAAGGAUCGGCUAACUCCGUGCCAGCAGCCGCGGUAAUACGGAGGAUCCGAGCGUUAUCCGGAUUUAUUGGGUUUAAAGGGUGCGUAGGCGGUUUGAUAAGUUAGAGGUGAAAUGUCGGGGCUCAACCCCGAAACUGCCUCUAAUACUGUUGGACUAGAGAAUAAUUGCGGUAGGCGGAAUGUAUGGUGUAGCGGUGAAAUGCUUAGAGAUCAUACAGAACACCGAUUGCGAAGGCAGCUUACCAAACUAUAUCUGACGUUGAGGCACGAAAGCGUGGGUAGCAAACAGGAUUAGAUACCCUGGUAGUCCACGCAGUAAACGAUGAUAACUCGUUGUCGGCGAUACACAGUCGGUGACUAAGCGAAAGCGAUAAGUUAUCCACCUGGGGAGUACGUUCGCAAGAAUGAAACUCAAAGGAAUUGACGGGGGCCCGCACAAGCGGAGGAACAUGUGGUUUAAUUCGAUGAUACGCGAGGAACCUUACCCGGGCUUGAAAGUUAGCGACGACGCUUGAAAGAGCGUUUCCCUUCGGGGCGCGAAACUAGGUGCUGCAUGGUUGUCGUCAGCUCGUGCCGUGAGGUGUCGGGUUAAGUCCCAUAACGAGCGCAACCCCUACUGUUAGUUGCCAUCAGGUGAUGCUGGGCACUCUAGCGGGACUGCCGGUGUAAGCCGAGAGGAAGGUGGGGAUGACGUCAAAUCAGCACGGCCCUUACGUCCGGGGCCACACACGUGUUACAAUGGUAGGUACAGAGGGCAGCUACCCUGCGAAGGGGUGCGAAUCUCGAAAGCCUAUCUCAGUUCGGAUUGGAGGCUGAAACCCGCCUCCAUGAAGUUGGAUUCGCUAGUAAUCGCGCAUCAGCCAUGGCGCGGUGAAUACGUUCCCGGGC